CCUGGCAUGUCCAUCGCAGCCGCGAGCCGCCGCCGCCCCCUCCCUCUGUCGCGGGGAUCGCUUGGAGAUUCACGGACCCGUCCCCUCCGUAGCGGGAAUCGGCUGGACUGCUGGAGCGUCGCUGGGAUCGCUGGGAGCAUCCAACCCCUACCUGACGAGUCCAUGUUGCCUCCUUCAAUCGCUUUUGUGGCCGUCGAUUAUGAUCCAGCUAGCUGCUCUGGUAAAUUCUUGGGUCUGUCAGUGCAUUGGCACAGCAUGGUUCAUUUGUGAAAGGAUGGCAGAUCAAUUUCAACUAGCUUGGUGAGCUCUGCAUCACCGUCAAUGUUCUCAACAGUGGCUACUUGCUUCGCUGUCAACGAUCCAUCGCAACGGCCUUUUAUGGGUGAAAUGGUGCAGGCGCUGAAACGGAUUUACAAUGACGCAGAGGAUGCCGGCGGUGAUUCACACCCACAGGGAAUCAUCGUGUCAGACGAUGACCGAUAAUGGGGCUUCGUCUUUGACAGUGGCAAUGUGGUAGCUUGCGGUUCAUCUCUCAGAGUUGCUAGAUGUUAAAUUACUAUUAGCUCGUGCUAUAACUUGUACUGAAUUUACAGAAGAUGGCAUGGUAGCUCAUGCUAUAACUUGUACCGAACUAUGAUAAAUUUCAAAAACACGUAAUAUUUCUUUGGAGGACAUAAUCACAUUAGUACUGCAUUUUCAUUUAUC